rnacentral:rRNA from 1 species
GAUGAACGCUGGCGGCGUGCCUAACACAUGCAAGUCGAACGGUCUCGGAGGCCGGAAGUAACAUUCCGAUCUCCGAGAUAGUGGCGGACGGGUGAGUAACGCGUGGGCAACCUGCCUUUCACUGGGGGAUAACACAGGGAAACCUGUGCUAAUACCGCAUGACAUAUCGACAGGGCAUCCUGUUGAUAUCAAAGGAGCAAUCCGGUGGAAGAUGGGCCCGCGUCCAAUUAGCUGGUUGGCGGUGUAACGGACCACCAAGGCGACGAUUGGUAGCCGAACUGAGAGGUUGAUCGGCCACAUUGGGACUGAGACACGGCCCAGACUCCUACGGGAGGCAGCAGUGGGGAAUAUUGCGCAAUGGGGGGAACCCUGACGCAGCAACGCCGCGUGAAGGAAGAAGGUUUUCGGAUUGUAAACUUCUUUGAUGAGGGACGAACAAAAUGACGGUACCUCAGGAACAAGCCACGGCUAACUACGUGCCAGCAGCCGCGGUAAAAUAGCGUACUC